CACACGAGGGUUUUACUGUCUCUUGCUUCCAAUCAGUGAAAUUGACCUUCCCGUGAAGAGGCGGGAAUAUAUUAAUAAGACGAGAAGACCCUAUGGAGCUUUAACUACUUAGCCCAAAGAAACAAAAUUUAUUUCUAAGGAAACAACAACAUUCUUUAUGGACUAACAGCUUUGGUUGGGGUGACCUCGGAGAAUAAGAAAUCCUCCGAGCGAUUUUAAAGACUAGACCCACAAGUCAAAUCACAUAACCGCUUAUUGAUCCAAAAAAUUGAUCAACGGAACAAGUUACCCUAGGGAUAACAGCGCAAUCCUAUUCGAGA
rnacentral:rRNA from 1 species